rnacentral:rRNA from 1 species
AGUGAACGUUGGCGGCGUGGAUUAGGCAUGCAAGUCGUGCGGAAAGGCCCCGCAAGGGGUACUCGAGCGGCGUAAGGGAUAGUAACACGUGGGUAACCUGCCCCUGGGACUGGGAUAGCUGCGGGAAACUGCAGGUAAUACCGGAUAAUGUCCCCGGACCAAAGGUGUGAUUCCGCCUGGGGAGGGGCCCGCGUCCUAUUAGCUAGUUGGCAGGGUGAAAGCCUACCAAGGCAAAGAUGGGUAGCGGGUGUGAGAGCAUGACCCGCAUCACUGGGACUGAGACACUGCCCAGACACCUACGGGAGGCAG